rnacentral:rRNA from 1 species
CUAAGGCCAACGGGAGAAGGGUUGUUAAGGAACUCGGCAAAUUGACCCCGUAACUUCGGGAGAAGGGGUGCUCCAGAGAUGGAGCCGCAGAGAAUCGGCCCAAGCAACUGUUUACCAAAAACACAGGUUUGUGCUAAAUCGAAAGAUGACGUAUACGAGCUGACGCCUGCCCGGUGCUGGAAGGUUAAGAGGAGAUGUGCAAGCAUUGAAUCGAAGCCCCAGUGAACGGCGGCCGUAACUAUAACGGUCCUAAGGUAGCGAAAUUCCUUGUCAGGUAAGUUCUGACCCGCAUGAAAGGCGUAAUGAUUUGGGCACUGUCUCAACAGCCCGCCCGGCGAAAUUGUAGUACCGGUGAAGAUGCCGGUUACCCGCGACAAGACGGAAAGACCCCAUGGAGCUUUACUGUAGCCUAAUAUUGGGUUUCGAUGUUGCAUGCACAGGAUAGAUGGGACUCUUGGAAACCAAGGCUUUGGCUUUGGCGGAGAGGCCGUUGGGAUACCAUCCUUGCGAUAUUGGAAUUCUAACCUGCGGCUCUGAAUCGAGUCGGGGGACAUUGUUAGGUGGGCAGUUUGACUGGGGCGGUCGCCUCCUAAAGAGUAACGGAGGCGUUCAAAGGUUCGCUCAGCUUGAACGGAAAUCAAGCAAAAGAGUGCAAACGCAGAAGCGAGCCUAACUGCGAGACUGACGGGUCGAGCAGUAACGAAAGUUGGAGUUAGUGAUCCGGUGGUAUGUGAGUGGAAAUGCCAUCGCUCAACGGAUAAAAGUUACCCUGGGGAUAACAGGCUGAUCUCCCCCAAGAGUCCACAUCGACGGGGAGGUUUGGCACCUCGAUGUCGGCUCAUCGCAUCCUGGGGCUGUAUUCGGUCCCAAGGGUUUGGCUGUUCGCCAAUUAAAGCGGUACGCGAGCUGGGUUCAGAACGUCGUGAGACAGUUCGGUCCCUAUCUGUCGUGGGCGCAGGAUAUUUGAUGGGAGCUGUCCCUAGUACGAGAGGACCGGGACGGACGUACCUCUGGCGCACCAGUUGUUCCGCCAGGAGCAUAGCUGGGCAACUACGUACGGAUCGGAUAAACGCUGAAAGCAUCUAAGCGUGAAGCCGACCCAAAGAUAAGAUAUCCCACUGAUUGAAUCAGGUAAGAUCCCUUGUAGACUACGAGGUUGAUAGGCACGAUGUGUAAGUGGAGCGAUCCAUUCAGCAAGUGUGUACUAAUAGAUCGAGGGCUUGACCAC